GCCCUGGGGGAGUCCCUGCGGCUCCUCUGCCGCGCCUCCGGCUUCACCUUCAGCAGCUACGGAAUGGGCUGGAUGCGCCAGAGCCCCAGGAAGGGGCUGGAAUGGGUCGCCAGUAUCAGGAACGAUGGUUCCAGCACCAGCUACGCGCCGUCGGUGCGGGGCCGGUUCACGAUCUCCCGGGACAACGGGCAGAGCUCGGUGACGCUGCAGAUGAACAACCUCAGGGACGAGGAUUCCGACACCUAUUUCUGCAUCAAAUAUUACGGGGCUGGUUGGGAUGCUGGGGUCUCCGCUCUCUGGGCCCCAAAUCUCAACCGUUGA